rnacentral:rRNA from 1 species
UACGUAGGGGGCAAGCGUUGUCCGGAAUCAUUGGGCGUAAGAGCGUGUAGGCGGCCUGAUAAGUCGGCUGUGAAAGUCAAGGGCUCAACCCUUGAAUGCCGGCCGAUACUGUCAGGCUAGAGUCCGGAAGAGGCGAGUGGAAUUCCUGGUGUAGCGGUGAAAUGCGCAGAUAUCAGGAGGAACACCUAUGGCGAAGGCAGCCCCCUGGGUUAACACUGACGCUCAUGCACGAAAGCGUGGGGAGCAAACAGG